GAAAUGCGAUAAGUAAUGUGAAUUGCAGAAUCUAGUGAAUCAUCGAAUCUUUGAACGCACAUUGCGCCCCUUGGUAUUCCGAGGGGCAUGCCUGUUCGAGCGUCAAAACAACCCCUCAAGCCGCUUUGGUUUGGUCUUGGGGCGCGCCCGUGAGAGCGCGGCGGCCCUUAAACUCAGUGGCGGUACCGGUGGUGCACUCCGCGUAGUCACGUUUCUCGCGACAGGACGGCACUGGAACCAGCCAAAAGACGACGGACGCUGAUGCAUCUGUCACGCUUCUCAAUGGUUGACCUCGAAUCAGGUAGGGAUACCCGCUGAACUUAA
rnacentral:misc_RNA from 1 species